UUUCGGAUAAUUGCUGCAUCGGCAGCGAUUAGGCGCAUUUAAACCAGUUUAAGUUGGACGUUUCCGCCACAACUGGUAUCGGAGCCAUAGGUUGGGAUAAUCAACAGAUAUUACCAUUUAAACACUGAGACUCUAUUUUAAAUAAAGAAAAAAUGAGUCACAGGUGGUAGUAGUGUUAACCGGUUGUUUGUUUUGCAGAUGCUAAUCGUUUGCUGCGUGUCGCUAGUACUCGGUAGUAUAUUAUUAGGAAGAGAUUACGAUGCCACCAAUUUCUCUACGAGUGUGUAUAUGAGUCUGUGAGUACGUAGGAGUCGUUGCAUCAUGUUGCAUAAGCAUGUUUUAAAAACUUUUGGGUUUGGUGAGUGCCGUUAGACCUAACUUCGUUUCUUUUAUAGGAUGUUCCAAGAAGGCUACACCGACCAGGACGGAUGGACCCGAGGACAUUACCUGGACAAGCCAGGGUUUGUGCAGCUGUUAUGGAAAACGCUGCAGGAGUUAGGCUUCCAUAACC
rnacentral:lncRNA from 1 species